AAGGCCCUCGUGCCGCUCAGCCCCAGGGCGGCACGGGCGGCGACCAGACGAGCGCGCCGCCGCCAACCUCUUCCUCUUCUCCCCUCCACCUUGCCGCCGCUCGAGCGCCCGCCGGCAAAGCCGGGGGGACGCAAUGACAGCGGCGGCGAGGCUCCCUACCUCCUCUCGCAGGCGCGGCGGCUGGGGCGAUGCCAUGACCGGAGAGAGGUCUCGCGGGUGCAGCGGUCGCCGGCGGCCAGAUCCGGCGUCGGUAGGACCGGAUCCGGUCCCCACACGGCUGGAUCGGGCGUCUCAGCCGGUGGCGACAGGAAGGAGGCGCACGCUCAACGAGGAGCGCGGAAGAGGCGGCGGAAGUGGCGACGUGCGAGGAGGACGACGUUCGCGCGCAGGCCGGUGACGCUCCCGUCACCGGCGGCCCAGGUUCCCGUCCAGAUCCGGGCCGGGCGAGGCGCUGGGAGGUGGCGGCUAGCGGCGGGGGAGAGGUUAACGUCGGGGCUGGAGAGGGUGCGAAGACCGGUGGCAGGCAGGGGUGGCUUCGCGGUGGGCAGCAGCGGCUUGCGCCGAGGUCGCGGUGUUGACGGGAGGUCAGCAACGGGGCUGGAGACGACGCGGAGAUGGUGGCAGGCAGGGGCGGCGUCACGGUGGGCGGGCAGCGGCGGCUCGCUCGCGCCGGUCGCGGCGUCGGCGUCGGCGCUGUGGCGGCGUGGUGGUUGCGACGACGACGGAGCUGCAGCGGCGCGGAUGUCGAGCCGGCUUGCGCCGCCCUGGCUGGAUCUGGCCGUCCGCGACCAGUUCCGUCGCCUCCGCGCCGGAGGGCCUGUCUUUGCCGUUAUGGUCGAGGUAUGAAUGCUUGUGAGACGUCAUGGACUAUUCUGUGGCCGUCAUUGUGGGGGUGCUUGUGUGGGUGAUACGAAGACGUCGGCGAAAGCCUUGCCGUGCCUUUGGCCGGUUCGACGACGACGGCGCCCGUGGGCGCCGUUUUCCUUCUUGGAGGCGUUGUCAUGGCGUUUCUUUCAUAUCCCCCACAAAUCUCCAGGUGAAAACCUUGUUCCGGCUUCGGACGAGCGGCGGCGGCGGAGUUACGACGUCGUGUCCUCCUUUGGGGCGUCGCUUCGGAGAAGUUCCAACACAUUGACGACUGUUGAUGGUCCUUUUCGGUUCAAAAGCUCUCAUACAUUGUGUUCGGCGAGGCCUUCGCCUUCUUGGGUCCGCUUUGUUUCUCGUGGUGGGUGUCACGCUCUUUGGUUGUUUCUGCAGAUGAAGUCGGAGCUACUCGCUGAUGGGGUGCGGUGACGCCUGGCAACGAUGACAUGUUGCAGUCUCUUCCUAGGAGUUGUGGUGCUGGCCGUGUAAAGGAAGUGGCUCCUCGGUGGCUUGGCUGAUGUCCAUUGUUGGAUGUCGGAGCUGCUUUUUGCUUUGGCGACUUUCAUGGCUUUAGUGUCGCUGUGGUUGUGAAGUCGGCGCUGCUGGGUCGCUUGGGCGGCUAGCUCGGCAACGAUAACACCUCUUCUGCGGUGUGGGAGCUGUUGGGUGGCUUUUGUGUUUAGCUUGGCGACGACGUCCUGCAUUUGGGCUCCGCCAUCAUGGUUAGUAGUGUAGC
rnacentral:lncRNA from 2 species